rnacentral:rRNA from 1 species
UACGGAGGGAGCUAGCGUUGUUCGGAAUUACUGGGCGUAAAGCGCACGUAGGCGGCUUUGUAAGUUAGAGGUGAAAGCCCGGGGCUCAACCCCGGAAUUGCCUUUAAGACUGCAUCGCUUGAAUCCGGGAGAGGUGAGUGGAAUUCCGAGUGUAGAGGUGAAAUUCGUAGAUAUUCGGAAGAACACCAGUGGCGAAGGCGGCUCACUGGACCGGCAUUGACGCUGAGGAGCGAAAGCCAGGGGAGCAAACGGG